CCUGGCUCAGAUUGAACGCUGGCGGCAGGCCUAACACAUGCAAGUCGAGCGGAUGAAAGGGAGCUUGCUCCUGGAUUCAGCGGCGGACGGGUGAGUAAUGCCUAGGAAUCUGCCUGGUAGUGGGGGAUAACGUUCCGGAAACGGGCGCUAAUACCGCAUACGUCCUGAGGGAGAAAGUGGGGGAUCUUCGGACCUCACGCUAUCAGAUGAGCCUAGGUCGGAUUAGCUAGUUGGUGGGGUAAAGGCCUACCAAGGCGACGAUCCGUAACUGGUCUGAGAGGAUGAUCAGUCACACUGGAACUGAGACACGGUCCAGACUCCUACGGGAGGCAGCAGUGGGGAAUAUUGGACAAUGGGCGAAAGCCUGAUCCAGCCAUGCCGCGUGUGUGAAGAAGGUCUUCGGAUUGUAAAGCACUUUAAGUUGGGAGGAAGGGCAGUAAGUUAAUACCUUGCUGUUUUGACGUUACCAACAGAAUAAGCACCGGCUAACUUCGUGCCAGCAGCCGCGGUAAUACGAAGGGUGCAAGCGUUAAUCGGAAUUACUGGGCGUAAAGCGCGCGUAGGUGGUUCAGCAAGUUGGAUGUGAAAUCCCCGGGCUCAACCUGGGAACUGCAUCCAAAACUACUGAGCUAGAGUACGGUAGAGGGUGGUGGAAUUUCCUGUGUAGCGGUGAAAUGCGUAGAUAUAGGAAGGAACACCAGUGGCGAAGGCGACCACCUGGACUGAUACUGACACUGAGGUGCGAAAGGG
rnacentral:rRNA from 1 species